AGCCCAACACUAGCCCAACCACCACCCCCAGACAAAACUAAAAAUUCACUCCAAACUCCAAUCAAAACAUUCUAAGAGCUUAGUACAGGCGAUAGAAAAGCAUUUAUCUGGCGCAAUAGAGAUCCCCGUACCGUAAGGGAAAGAUGAAAUAGCAAUGAAAAUUUAAGCAAAAUACAGCAAAGAUAAACUCUUGUACCUCUUGCAUCAUGGUUUAGCAAGAAAAACCAAGCAUAAUGAACUUAAGCUUGCCCCCCCGAAACCCAUGCGAGCUACUUGCGAGCAGCUACUUCUGAGCGAACCCGUCUCUGUUGCAAAAGAGUGGGAUGACUCGCUAGUAGAGGUGAAAAGCCAACCGAGCUGGGUGAUAGCUGGUUGCCUGUGAAUCGAAUUUAAGUUCACCCCUAAUCCUCCUCCAAGGCCCCCUAACUACACCCUCAUGAAACGGAUCAGGGGUUAUUUAAAGGAGGUACAGCUCCUUUAAAAAAGAACACAACCUCCCCUAGAGGAUAAUCACUAAACAAUCAAACUUCAACCUGUGGGCCUUCAAGCAGCCAUCAACAAAGAAUGCGUCAAAGCUCAACACCAAAAAAAUCCGAAUACAAUAUGACUCCCUUAUCACCAACAGGCUAACCUAUCUCAAUAGGAGAAUCAAUGCUAAAACGAGUAACUAGGAUAAACCCUCUCAGGCGCAAGCUUACACCUCCAUUAUUAACAGGCCAUCAAAAUACUUCAACCUUCACAAGACCAAGUAUUAAACUAACUCUGUUAACCCAACCCAGGAGCGCCAACCAGAAAGAUUAAAACCUGUAAAAGGAACUAGGCAAACCAGAGGCCCGACUGUUUACCAAAAACAUAGCCUUCAGCCCAACAAGUAUUGAAGGUGAUGCCUGCCCAGUGACAUCACGUUUAACGGCCGCGGUAUCCUAACCGUGCAAAGGUAGCGCAAUCAAUUGUCUCAUAAAUCGAGACCUGUAUGAAUGGCUAAACGAGGUCUCAACUGUCUCUUACAGGCAAUCAGUGAAACUGAUCUUCCCGUGAAAAAGCAGGAAUAACCACAUAAGACGAGAAGACCCUGUGGAACUUUAAAAUCAACGGCCACCCUAAAAAAACCAAGCCUAUCAGGCACACCACCCCAUAAACAUCUGGCCCGUAUUUUUUGGUUGGGGCGACCUUGGAGAAAAACAAAACCUCCAAAAAUAAGACCACCCAUCUUAACCAAGAGCAACCCCUCAACGUACUAACAGUAACCAGACCCAGUACACCUGAGCAAUGGACCAAGCUACCCCAGGGAUAACAGCGCAAUCUCCUCCAAGAGCCCAUAUCGCCGAGGAGGUUUACGACCUCGAUGUUGGAUCAGGACAUCCUAAUGGUGCAGCCGCUAUUAAGGGUUCGUUUGUUCAACGAUUAAUAGUCCUACGUGAUCUGAGUUCAGACCGGAGCAAUCCAGGUCGGUUUCUAUCUAUGACUAACUCUUCCCAGUACGAAAGGACCGAAAGAGUAAGGCCAAUACCACAAGCACGCCUUCCCUAUAAGUAAUGAACCCAACUAAAUUACCAAAAGGACAUCCACCCCAAUCCUAGAAAAGGACCC
rnacentral:rRNA from 1 species